UAGAUUGAAGCCAUAUUAAGGUGUUUAGCUGUUAA
rnacentral:tRNA from 1 species